GUUGACCUCGAAUCAGGUAGGAAUACCCGCUGAAC
rnacentral:rRNA from 1 species